CACAAACUCGUAAGACUCAUUUACUUAUUUUUCUUCAUUACCUUGUGCCAAAUGAACUUAGCUAACUUGUUAUUUUUCGCAAACAUAUCAUUUAUUCAUGUCUACCAAUUAGAUAUGGAAAGAUUAAAUGUAGAUAAGUGGUUGAUGCAAUUAUGAAAGUCGACAAGAUUUCUAGGAUACGUACGACAAACAUUAGCAGCUUAUAACAAUUAAAAGGUGAGGGCGUAAGGACAUUCACAGUCUUAGUUAAUUGGUUAGGACAUGUUCUGGAGAAAGGUGAUACAAGCAAUAUCGCGUAACAGUCGUUGUGACAAUUAUAAUAAAAUAGAAUAUAUAUUUUUGCUGAAUUACAUGUGAUAUCAGAAGAACAUAGACUCGAAGAAGUUCUAUUGUAAAGAUGAGUUUGAACAAACGUAAAAAAUGUAAUUACGCUCGUCUUGUGAACGGAUUAUGCUAUGGACUAUUUAUUUUAACGAAAAAUGCAUAUAUAUAUAUAUAGUGCCGUUACUGAUAUAGGUUAUGGGUAAACUUAGUUUUUAUUAGGUUGUUUUAUAUUGUAUAUUCAUUUAUUUACACUUUUUUCUAUUUUUAUUUUGUUUUGUUUAGUUUAUAAAGCAAUGCAUUGAUUUUAAUUCCACAGGAAUGUAUCAAUAAAAGAAAAAUCCGAAGUUUUGUUCAAACGGACACAGUAUUACGACACAUUAUAAACAACAGUAAAAUCACAAAAAUACUGAACACCGAGGAAAAUUUAAAACGGAAAGCCACUAGUCAAAUGACAAAAUCAAAAGCUCAAACACAUCAAACGAAUUGAUAAAAACGGUCAUAUUCCUUACUAGGUACACACAUUUUCUUAUGUAGAAAAUGGUGAAUUGAACAUACAUUCAUUACAAAUAGAUAUAUAAUAUAUCAAGUUUUUAACGGCAUAAAGGCUAAACAUAAUGUAAAUAUAUUGAACAGAAACUCUCAAGAAUUACACGUUUAUUCUUAGUGUAAGUGUUUUAUAUGGAUUGCAAUUGCAUUGGCGUUUAACAAUUUUUUUUGAAGGUUGUAUUGUACUAUGCAUACGAUGUGACCCUAUCAUAUUUACAAUUUUAUGUAAAAUCUAGCAUUUUUUUAUUGUAUUGUAGAGCAAAGUUCGACCCUUAAAAACUUACAUUAAUUAACAAUUACUAUGUUCGGGUACUUUUGCUAGCUACUGGUAUCUAUACUAUUAAACGAGAAGACCUAAUUUUGUGUGUCGCUUCUCUUUUUUCCAAAAUAAAUUAAUCAUCAUGCCUCUGUGUCUUAUAGGUACAGUGCAUAGUCGCAUUUGUCAUUCCAUCAUAUGAUUAUUCAGAUUGCGUUAUUUUUGGAGACACAGUUUUGGAGGUCAAACUGUGUUGUACAAACAUCUAUAAAAUAUUUUGGGAUGCUAUGAAUAACAAAGAAGCUAAAUUCAUUCAAGUAUGGACAUCACAAUAUAGCAACUAAUUACAUAACAAUUAAUUAUGUAAUACAUUGUAAUUAUGUCAUUAUAAUGAAACUAUCACAAUUUGAAAGAUUAAUCAUUUUUCUUUCUUUUGGUACCUCAUUUGUAAAAUUUAAAGAUGGAUGAGCGGAAUUACAUCAGUUUCAAGAUGUUUGAUUGGGGAUGAAAAAUCUUUGUAUUGUGCUACCUUAAGACAAACAUUUGUUUAUAAAUAGAGUUCUGAUAGCUAGUGACUGAUGUGAGUCGUAUCAACACUUCGUUUAAUGCACUAAUCACUGUCUUGCCUGGAUUUGUUUUUGUCAGAUUUAUCAAUACUAAAUUAUAAAUAUUUUUUUAUUAUUAUUAUUCGAUUUAACGAUCUAUAUUGUAGCAGUAUUGUUAUAUAUAUAAUAUAAAUAAUACUUUUAUAAUUUAGUACAUUUUACUGAGCUUUUUCCCUGGAAAUUCAGUAACUAAAAACAGGGAUAUUUGGGCUAACGCUGUAAUCCGAGUAAAUGGUUAGUACAGCAGACAUUAUUUAAUAAAAGAUAUUUGAAAGAGAAAAAAAAGUAGCGUUUUCUUCCCUUCCUCUGUUGUUUUAAAAUAUACAUGUAAACCGUCCCUCGAAAAGUCCUUUAACCUUAAUGUUAGUGAUGUACACUGAUGUGAUGUGUUGUUACAUUUAGUUUUAUAAAAAGUGUUUAACCUACAAUGUUAUCCCAAUUCCCCCAAGCUAAGCUGUUGCACUUUUUGUUUCCCUUAAGUAAUAAAGCGUCUAUCAAUAUCUACGUUUUGUUUUAUCAUAUCUCUUGAUUUUAAAUUGUUAGUUCAAAGCGUUUACUAUAAAAACACAUGAAUUUUGUUAACAUGAAAUUCAAAGGACUUUUUAAAAUAAAGUAAUUUGAAAAACAUCGAAAUUUAAUUAAAAGCAAGUAAAAUACAAUUUCGUUUUAGAAAAGUUCACGAGUAAUUCAUGUGAAAAAGUUCACGUGAGUUUCAUUUAUAAGCUCGUUUGAGGUGAAUCUCACGUGAAUGUCAUGUGAGAUUCUUUGAAUUUCACGUGAGCCAAUUUUCCUGUGUAUCACAUUUGCGUUAUUGCAAAAUCUACUAGUAAGUACAAUUUAUUUAUUUACGCUGCAAGCUUUGUUUUCCCUAAACUCUACCUUUAUCAUGAAGUAUGUUAUUCACAUACACAAUUAUAUAUUGUAUUUUAUCAAUUGAUUUAAGACGAAGCUAUUACAAUACAUCUUCAUAUAUUGACGAUCUCAUAUUUUUGUUACAUCGUAGUAAAAUAUUUUCUGACUAGUUAGUUUGACAACCUUCAUAUCCUACACAUAGUUGAAGUCAUUUAAAGUAGAAAUGAUUGGGUUUUUUUAAAUUUGUUUUGAAAUUAAUGGAUUUCAGUGUAUCACGAUUUAUAUUUAAUAUCAAAAGAUCUGGUCCAUAUUUGUUAAAUUUGAAUAAUCGAAUAAAAUUUCAAUCUCACUGUUCACUUUCCAUCAAUCUUUUAAACUACAUAAUUUUAAUGAAUCAAUCAACCCAUAGUUAUAACUCUAUAUCAGUAUUAAAAACUCAAAUUAUAACUCUUUAUCAGUAUUAAAAACUCAAAUUAUAACUCUUUAUCAGUAUUAAAAACUCUCGUUAUAACUCUAUAUCAGUAUUAAAAACUCAAGUUAUAACUCUAUAUAAGUAUUAAAACUCAAGUUAUAACUGUAUAUCAGUAUUAAAAACUCAAAUUAUAACUCUAUAUCAGUAUUAAAAACUCAAGUUAUAACUCUAUAACAGUAUUAAAUGAUUGAUUGAUUGAUUGUUGGUUGCUUAACGUCCCGUGGCAAAUAUUUCAUGCAUAUUCAGGACGAGAACAAGUUCACAAUAAAUACAAUAGGUAGGUUGAUUCAAUAGAAGGCCAUCUGGGAUGACGGUCGGGGAAACUUGGACUGCCACUGGAAAAUGAGGGUCCACUGGACAGGGACAGACAUUUUGCCUUGCAACAGGCCACCUACGGACCCCUCAAUGAGUUGUUACAAGGGUUCUUAACGUGCAUAGAGCGUGGCAUUCUCUUUACACGAGGCAUCGGAUUUAACGUCCCCCUUCUGACCGGACGUGACUACGAACUUGAUACAUCCCGCACAGCCAAACGGACGCCCCUACUUCGGCAAGCGUUUUACUGCAGGUCGGGAGAAGACUAAGUGACCAUAUUUCUAUACCCAAGUCACCCUUGGGGUCAACGGUAUUAAAAACUCAAGUUAUAACACUAUAUCAGUAUUAAAAACUGAAUCUAGAUAUGUUAUGAAUAGUUGUACCAGAAGAGUUAACUUAUAUGUAUUUUUCCCAUAACUAAGAAUUUUCUCUUUUAAGAGUUUUCUCAUUUGUUCCGUACGCGUCUUCUUGUCCUCAGUCAUUUAGUUAUUAACUCGUGAAGAGUAAACACGUUAUAUAGUAGGGUAUUCCUAUGACAGAUUUCAUCUUACUAUUUAAUCACUUGAGAGGAAUAUGGGAUUAUUAGGUACUAAAAGGGUCAUUAAAACCUUUACACGUAAUUGUGCUUGAUACAGGACGGCUAUGUCAAUGUUUGUCUUUCGUCAUAUUUGAGUGUUUUGUUUUUGUUUGAAAUAAAUGGUGACAGUAUAUCUGUGUUGAUGUUUUGUUUGAUAUAUCUAGACCAAGGGCGAGUAGGAAUCUGACAAAUUAUAUAAACACUUAUCUAAUUUAGAAGACAGUUUGUUGACCUCUAAAUGUCAUUGCUGUCUAUGUUGGGUGUUAUGGAUGAUUAUUCUAUUAAUUUCUCCUUAUAUUCAUUCAAAUAUGUCUAUAAAGCGAGAUCCAGUAUUUAAGAUAUAGGAUAACAUUUAUAUAAAGAUAUCAAACAUUAUAAACGAAUAAUUUAUAUAACCCUGAACAUCUAACAAGAAAUAUACAGAUCGAACAAAUACAAAACGCAUACUUUAUGUUGAUAAUUAAUAUUGGUCUUAUUUUCUUUCGUAAAGUUAUUGUUAUCAGCCAUAUAAGUGUGUUAUUCUUUGUGUUUAUUUUCAUUAAUUUAAUUAUACUUGCAGUUAUCGUUUUCUAAAAGUCAAAGACGAGAUAUUUGUUCAUUCUGUUAUGAGAUGUGAUGAUUGAUUAGUGAUGUUUGACGAAACAUUAAACACUCUAGAUUGUAUCAUGCCAACAAGUAUUAUUGGUGAAGGAAGUGAGUGUAUCUGGAAGGAACAACCGUCCGGCAAUCAGGUUAAAUUUAGAUUGGAGGUCACGAGCAAGAAAGAAACUUGUUUAUAUUCAAAGUCAUCUAGGCUACACUUCUGAAAAUAUAAUGAUCUCAGUCAUAGAAUAUUCUGAAAUCAAAAAUAAACGUACUAAAUACUUUUAUAUCAAGACGUGUUUUGCUUUUAAUGUUUUAAAGGCUGUUCAUAACACGCGUCUAGAAUUGUAUGUAUUUGGUACGUAUAACCAUAUAAAUAUCAAAUAAAAUAAAAUAACAAAAUCAAUUGCUCUAGAUUAACACUACUGAAUGUUGUAUUUUCUAACACAGAGACUGGAAAUACCAAAGUGAUUUUGAAACUCAUAAGCCAAAGACAAAUUUUAAAUGUCCUUGUAGAAAACAAAAAUUACGAUAAAACAGCCUACAAAAAGUAAAAUCACAAAAAUACUGAACUCAGAGGAAAAUCAAAUCGGAAAGUCCCUACAUAACAAGGCAAAAUCAAAUGACAAAACACACCAAAAACAAAUAGACAACAACUGUCAUAUUCCUGACUUGGUAUAGGCAUUUUCAAAUGUAGAAAAUGGGGGAUUAAAUCUGGUUUUAUAGCGCUAACCCUUUCACAUUGUACGACAGUCUCAUCAAAUUCCGUUUUAUUUACAAUGAUCCGUGAACUAAACAGACAUAAUAAAUAAAAUAGUCAAAAUAUGGGUACAGCAGUCAUCAUCGUGUUACAAUAUUAAAGAAACAAUUUCUCGUGCCUGACGUUAGAAACUCUUCAAUUUUGUCGCAAACUUGUGUUCCCAAAAGAUCAACAUUACCAUUGUAUCAAACAAUAUGGUGGCCUUGGUUCUGCUCCUUGGACGCUUUGACACUUUUCCAUUUUUCAUAUAUAUAUUUUGAUUUUUACAGGUAAAUUACAACUUCGAAAUUGUCUGGCCAUAGACUCAACAGAUCUUAAUGACUGACAGCAAAUGUCUUAAACAGAACUUACUUGAACGCAGUGGAUGGUUGACUCAAAAAUGAAUAUGACUUAUGAUUUAAUGUUCAGGGUUUUUUACAGCUGAUCAGAUGAUAGUAGACGUUUUAGACUAAACUUUUUACUGUCGUCAUAUUGUAAAAUAUUAAAUUUUAAGUCAUAUCAAUUAUGCUUAAUUAAGCAGGGAAUUCCCAAGAAGUUAAGGAAAACCUCAAUGAUACAGAAACAUGAUUACAAAAUACCGACUGAUAUUAUCAAGCUGAGAACUCUGAAAAAAGGCUUUAGCAAUAUAAGUUUUAAUCAAGUCUUGGAGUUAGAUCGAAUGCCUCAAAAAUGUCUACAUAUCCUGCAUAGAAGCCGACCGAACAGUACUACGGGUUAGGGACUACAUUAUAUGAGGGCA
rnacentral:lncRNA from 1 species